CAUUUUAAAGGGAAAAAAGCAAGAAGGCCAAAGAAUCAUCCAAUUUGGAAAAGUUUAUUAUAAUAAGGUACUUCAUUUAUUCUAUUCUCGCACAUAUGAAACAAAAGCAGUGGGAGACAAGAGAAGCAAGUAUAUCAAGAAGUCCCAGGAAGACUAUGAAAACAUUUACACCCCCAUGUUGGAGACAUGUGGGUUUCAAUAUUUCAUGGU
rnacentral:lncRNA from 1 species